CAUCACGCUGCGACCCGAGGAGCCGGCCGGGCGGCAGCGGGGCGGGGCGGCCCCGGGGCUCCGAGCGCCGCCUCAGCUUCUGCGACCCACCUUUUCCCCACUUAGAAUCGUUCCCAGGGAUCUGGAGAUGUCCUAGAGAGGUUUGGGGGCAUCCAGGGGGUUCUGGACUCAUGCAGAAGAGUCUGGAGAUGUCCAAGCAGGAUCCAGGGAGUCCCCAGGCCUGCCUGCAGCCGGACCCGGUGACACCGGAGCCCUGUGGCGCUGUCACCAUCCUCUGUCCCGAGGACGGGAGGUGAACUCUGUGCCACCAGCAGAGGGGACCACGGGUGACAUCAGUGUGGAACAGCCGUGACGCGGCGGCGUUGUCAUUGGGUGUCACCGUCACGCAGAGGGGCCAAAAGGACCCCCCUGGGGGCAUUGCGUCGAAGUUGGGGACACCGUGAGCAGCUUGAGGACUUCCCAGGGGAAGUGGGGGCACCGCGUCACCGUGUCACACCCCAAAGUUGGGG
rnacentral:lncRNA from 1 species